CGCGGGUCGCACCGGUGUGCGGCGCUCUGGGCGUCGGCCAGGGCCAGUGCGUGGAGCGCUUGUGCCCACGAUCCAGGCGGUAGGGGCGUGGUAUAAAACGAAUGCUCGUCCAGGCCCCACUCGCCCAUGGGUCGCGUGUCGAGCAUUUCGGCAAUAGCCCCGACGAGGCCUUUGGCGACCUCGCCACGUGCAGCCUGGUCCGGCGAACCGAGCCUCGCGACGACGCGCUGGAUGUCUUGGAUGCGGUUGCGCCCGAGGACUCGGACGAGGGCAUCGAUCGCGUCGGCAAAAGAGGGCAAGCCUGUGGCAUUUUGUGUCGCUACUCUGCUGCCGAUAUAAUGGGCGGCACUAGGCGACUGUGCAAUGGCCGCCCACAGGGGUUCGUAAAGGUGCAAGGCGGCGACCGACGGGCGAACGCCGUCGGCGGCGGCAAUGCGCUCCAACGUAUCGGGAUUCCACGGGUCGAUGACCGAGAAUCGCGCCCACGACCGCGCAUCUGCGUCAGAGCCCAGGCCUCGCUCGGCGCGGUACCACGAGGCAAACAAAGGCGCCGCUUCGCGCUUGAGAAACUCGAGCGUCUCGUAGUUGCCGGCGCGCAUAUACCGCCCGCCACCGACAGGCUCGGCGAGACGCCGCCGAGCCGCAGCAGGACCUUGCUGGUCGGAAUGACCGUCGACAGUGGGCGGCUGUGGACGCUUCAUGGUUGGUGCGCCGUACGGCCGUUCCUCUUUUUCGUUUGUGCCCCGGACCCGCUCGCUCAACAAAUGACACCGCUCUCGCCGUCGGCGCACUGCGGUAUUUCGCUGCGUAUAUUUUUACGUUAUUUUAUACUCCGUUUCCGAGCACGCCAUUUUUAUUAAUGACACGCGUC
rnacentral:lncRNA from 1 species